rnacentral:rRNA from 1 species
AUUGAACGCUGGCGGCAUGCUUUACACAUGCAAGUCGAACGGUAACAGGGUGCUUGCACCGCUGACGAGUGGCGAACGGGUGAGUAAUACAUCGGAAUGUACCCAGUAAUGGGGGAUAACGCUUCGAAAGGAGUGCUAAUACCGCAUACGCCCUACGGGGGAAAGCAGGGGAUCUUCGGACCUUGCGCUAAAUGAUGAGCCUAAGUCGGAUUAGCUAGUUGGUGGGGUAAAGGCCCACCAAGGCGACGAUCUGUAGCGGGUCUGAGAGGACGGUCGGACAGGCUGGGACGGAGACACGGGCCAGAGUCCUACGGGAGGGAGCAGUGGGGGAUGUUGGACAAUGGGGGAGAGCCUGAGCCAGCCAUGCCGCGUGUGUGAAGAAGGCCUGGUGGUUGUAAAGCACUUUAAGCGAGGAGGAGGCUACUUAGAUUAAUACUCUGGGAUAGUGGACGUUACUCGCAGAAUAAGCACCGGCUAACUCUGUGCCAGCAGCCGCCGCGGUAA